GCCUGCCUCGCCGGAACAACCGCGCCCGGGUAACGCUCUCACGAGAACAAUGUGAUCACGAAUACAACGUUACUUAUGACAAUAUACAAUAAUAUAAUUGUGAUGAACAAAUGCAGGCGUCCAAGAUUUUCGAAUUAGAUAAAAAUUAAUGUAGAUUAGGAUGCGGGACGCUUAGUUUAAGAUGUUAUGGACUAAGACUAUGGUGUAAGCAGAAUGGCAGCGGUAGCCGGGCUUUAUGGCCUUGGCGACGAACAGAGGGGCAGGCAUCGACGGGGACAAAUCAAUGCCGAGCGAUCAGAAUCCCGGGAUGACAAUACAGAAGCGUCGCUGCCAAAACUAUACAACCAAGAAGAAGAACAAGGGAAGCCGCCUCAAAGCGGUGUCGUCACCUUUGAGCCGAUUGAUCAUGAUCACGACUUAUGCGAGAGAGUCGUGAUCAACAUAAGCGGCCUCAGGUUUGAAACUCAACUAAGGACACUUAACCAAUUCCCGGAAACGCUGCUGGGAGAUCCAGCGCGAAGAAUAAGAUACUUUGACCCAAUACGGAAUGAGUACUUCUUUGACAGAAACAGACCAUCUUUCGACGCCAUUCUGUAUUACUACCAGAGUGGUGGUCGGCUGCGAAGACCCGUCAACGUCCCACUUGAUGUCUUCUCUGAGGAAAUCAAAUUCUACGAGCUCGGAGAACAGGCCACCAACAAAUUCCGCGAGGAUGAAGGUUUCAUCAAGGAAGAGGAGAAGCCUCUGCCUUCCAACGAACGUCAGCGCAAAAUCUGGCUGCUCUUCGAAUACCCCGAGAGCUCCCAGGCUGCCCGUGUUGUUGCCAUCAUUUCGGUGUUCGUGAUCCUCCUUUCCAUCGUCAUUUUCUGCCUUGAAACACUGCCAGAAUUCAAGCACUACAAAGUUUACAACACCACCACCAAUGGCACCAAGAUUGAAGAGGAUGAGGUUCCCGACAUCACCGACCCAUUCUUCUUAAUAGAAACCCUGUGCAUCAUCUGGUUUACGUUCGAGUUGAUUGUGAGAUUUUUAGCAUGUCCGAACAAAUUUAACUUCUUCAGAGACGUGAUGAACAUAAUAGAUAUCAUAGCUAUUAUUCCCUACUUCAUCACGCUUGCUACCGUCGUUGCUGAAGAAGAGGACACGCUAAAUCUGCCUCGAGCUCCGGUAUCCCCUCAAGACAAGUCGACGAAUCAAGCGAUGAGCUUAGCAAUCCUGAGAGUGAUUCGACUUGUCCGAGUCUUCCGGAUCUUCAAGCUCUCUCGUCAUUCCAAGGGUCUGCAAAUUUUAGGACGCACCCUCAAAGCAUCUAUGAGAGAACUCGGACUGUUAAUAUUCUUUCUCUUCAUCGGUGUGGUGCUGUUUUCGUCUGCGGUGUACUUCGCGGAAGCGGGAAGCGAAAAUAGCUUCUUCAAAUCGAUACCUGAUGCGUUUUGGUGGGCGGUCGUUACCAUGACGACCGUGGGAUACGGAGACAUGACGCCUGUUGGAGUUUGGGGAAAAAUCGUGGGGUCUUUGUGUGCAAUUGCUGGUGUACUUACCAUCGCACUGCCUGUGCCCGUCAUCGUGUCCAACUUUAACUACUUCUACCACCGUGAAACUGAUCAGGAGGAGAUGCAAUCGCAGAACUUCAACCAUGUUACCAGCUGUCCGUACUUGCCAGGAACCCUCGGCGAACCAUACUUAGUUUCAGGACCAAUCAAGAAGUCCUCAGUUAGCGAUGACUCUUCAUCCGAUAUGAUGGAAUUAGAGGAAUCGGCUCUAGUAACUGAUCCCCACUUGGAGACCAACCUGCGGCGGUUACGUGAGGAAGGAAGGUUGCUCCUUGAGCAGAAAAAGGUCUUGGAGGCUGCUGGUACCAGUGAUGAUAUUGCAACCCUGGAACUGCUUGAUGCCAUACGGUUGAAUCAGAUAAAACAACAAGAGCUGGGGAAGCAACAAGCUGCGUUGGCGAAGCGCAAUUCUCGAGCCCACUGCAUGGACGCACGCCGUGACCAGCGCAGGCGCACCCAGUGCAACGUACGCAUCAACCAAUUGCACAGCGCAAGCGCACCUGAAUCUAUAGAAACAGACGUCUGACCAACAGUUGAAGUAGAAGUACUCGUUCAUCAUCCCCCGGGAAAUUAUAUCUGAAAGGCGAGUCGGGAUAUAACAGGCGGUGUCUGGCGUGGACGAAUGCCAGCUCGUUCGCCUCCUGCCUGCCACGUGUGACCCCCUCCCCCGUUUUCCCACUUGGCCUUACCUCACGAAACCCUCGAGGACUUUAUGUGCUUCUACGAAUUAGUUAGAAAUUAGCCAUUAUUAUAAACGCUUGUACCAUAUGAGAACAGAUUUAGUAAUAGUUUGGUUUAUAUCCAUCUUUAAUUAUGUGUAACAUCGGGAUUAAUUUAAAACAAAAGACGAAGAUUUUCGUUUUACUUUGAUUGGGUAAAAGCACCUCUAGUCCAAUCACAAGUAAACAAAAGACGCUCGCUUAAUAUUAACGCUCCGGUAUAAGGGUGGCCAAAAAGUCUUGGAUCAAACGCAACUGGGGGGUUAGAUGGGGUCAUCAGCUGCAAAAAAUUGUUAUACGGGAGAUCCUUAAGCUCAACCCCUGCAGAGUUAUAAUUUAUUUUGUGUUUUCAUAAGAAAUGUCAAGUUUCUUUUAAAAACGCAAAAUAAAUUAUAACUCUGCUGGAGUUGAGCUUAAGAACCUCCGGUAGAACAAUUUUUGCAGCUGAUGACCCCAUCUAACUCCUAGCAGCGAUUGAUCCACGACUUUUUGGCUAUCCUGUAUACCGGUAGGUUUCCAUGCCCUAUGCUUGGAAAACCUUUUGUCAGUUUAAUUCAGAUGUUAGACUUUACGUUAUCAAGUGAAGUUUGCUAUAUUAAUACUCAUCAAGAAUAAUUUCAAGUAGCAAUUUGUCUAUUUCACUUUACGAUGUAUACAAACAACAAACUCUUUCAAUUGAAAUUAGAUAUAUUUACCUUAUUACUGUUGAUAUAAUUUGAAUAUCAAUGAUUAUAUGUAUAAUUAAAGAUGGAAAUAAAUAUUUUUAAAGGCUUAUUCCGCUUCAACACUUACAGCUACACACUUCGACACUUCUGUAAUAUUAGGAAUUGUUCUUCAGAAAUAUGUAAUUGAAAUAGGCCUACAAUUAUUAGAUGGUACAUUUAGGACUCUGAUAUAUGACAAUACAAAGGAUGUGACAAGGGGCUAGUGCGCCUUAAACGGAUUAUGAAAAACACGGAUACUGACGUAAAAUAAGAUUCGCUUUGUUAAACAUCUAUUUAGCGGCACAAGACUUUCGAUAAUAAUUGUCGAAUCUACUUAUAUUAUGACAAUUCAUGCCUCUGUAAAUGCAACUAUUGGUAUAUAUUGAAUAGAUAUAGGAUGCUUGAAUAGACAUCUGUCUAUAAGAGAUCGUAUUAUUUGUUGUUGCAUAAAUGGUGCUAAGCAAUGGCAAAGACAUCCUAAAUCUAUGCAUUGUAUGCAAUCUAUUUGAUGGCAAGUAUCGUUUAAAUGCGGUGAGUGUGGAUGAUGGCUAUGGUGAGGCAUUUAGAACGAGGUUGAAGGCAAGGACAACGUAUUUAUAUUGAAUGUUGUGAUUCUAUGGGCAAUCGCCGACUGUACUUGUAACACCCUCAAUGAACCAUAGUAGUGGACGCCCGUGUAGUUGUAGAGGAUCAAUGUUGUGUUUACGAUAAGUGUGUUUAUUUGAUGGAAAGCAGAGGUUGUGAUAACUCCAGUAUUGCAUAUCCCAGUGAAGCGUAUCCAGGUUUUACGCGUGUUGACGGUGAGCAAUAUGUUCAUAUCAGGCAAUCUUGGAUUUAAAUUGCGUCAAUUUUCUCUCUAAAUUUAUAGAUAACGUCAAUAAUUCAGAGUUCGCUUGCUUUACGUCUAAAACUUACAUAUCGUGUGUGCGAAGUCGUAAGAUUGUAUUUAAAAUGGAAUGUUAUCGGAGUAUAUGAUGGAAGUUUAUCAUCUCAAAUUCGUUGUCAAUUUGCUUGUGUGUAGGCAUAGAAAUAUCACUUUGGUUAUAAGCAUUAUUGUGAAUGAGCAACCAAAAUCCGGUAAAAUUUGUGUGUCACAUUAAUUCCCCGGGCCUAAUUCCUUUUUACCAUCUAUGGAUGAUAGCGUUUACUUCUCGUAGAUAUGUGCUGUUUGAUGGAGUGUUCUCAAUAUCAAUAUUGCUUAUAUCAAGGAAGUUAUUAAAUGUUCAAAGGUAAAUAAUUUUUUCCAUAUCAUUAUACAUGUCAUAGCGGUAAACAUUAAAAUAUAUAACUCGUUUAUUCUCUUAGAUAUAAAUUAGUGUUAGGUGAUAAGAUUAAGGAUAUUUGUGUCUAUAUACGUCUUGGGUUAUUUACGUAACAAAAGCUGCCAAAAUAUCGCUUGGAUUUUUUAAAAUAACCGAUGGUAUUUUUAUAACAGUAGGCCCCAGGGUUUGCGAAUUAUAUGGCUAUUGCAGUAUAUGUCGCCUCUCAAUUCCCUCAAUUUAACAGUCAUUACACCACAACAAGACUCGUUUAUACAUUUCCAACAGUCACAUCAAAAUAUAUAUUCUUAUGAAAUCAUGGGGCCUGCGUCAUUAUAACACAAGAAAAGUACAUUUUUAACUCUAAAUUUAAAAUAAUUUUCCGAUCAGAUUGAAUAUAUUUCAUUAAUAAAUCAGCCUUCGUGGCUGCCAAGCUAUAUAAUAGUUUCGUAUUGGAAGGUACAAGCUUAAUAAAUAAUCAAAAAUCUACCAUACCUUAUUAGGCUAUUACACUGCAGUUCAAACUAUUCAUACAACAAUUUUAAUUACGUAAUAAAACUCAUAAUUUAUAAAUAAUAAUAUAUAGAAUUUAAACGAAUACAAGCAUACUCUCGCACAUGUUUUGUAUUCGAAUUUAAACUAUAUGGCUGUCUUAGAAUUCAUUUCGAUGCACAAACGGUAUCGAGGUUGUUGCAAGUACAGAUACCUAUGUGUCAAUCUAUAUAUGUUAAAUUGUAGGUAUAUGUGUCUAUAUAGUCAGUAGCGCACGGGUCCACUGACUGACGAGUUACAGGAAUUAAUAGGUGAAAGUUGAAUUAUAUUAAUUUUAGCGUAAGACUAGUGGAAAACAAUGUUUAACACUAUUACGUCUGUAAAGGCAUUUGUGUUGAAAACUUUCCAAAUAAUUCGAAAUUUAAAAAAAACAACAUAGACUAGGCAUAUCCAACAAUUUUUUAAAAACAAAGCCGUAAACUCAUUUUAGAGUCGUUGCUACGACAGGAGUUGUCAAUUCGUAUUGCCCAGUCUUCUCAAUGCUAAAUAUAAUAAAAUUACGAUGUAAAGCGCGUUAGUUAUCGACCAAUUUCUUAAAAGAUGUAUUUUAUUGAGGCGAGACUGACGUACAUUCCAUUAACUAUAAUUAUAGUAUAGAUGUAUCGCAAUGGAUUGUGAAUUACUCAUGUUGGCCAAAAUUGUAUUUACGCUCACUGCGUAUUAUAAUUUUUGCUCAGUAUUAUUAGUUGUAUCGAAGGAUGUAGUCACGGACCCGAUGCGUAUUAACACCGUUUGCUCUCUUUAUAUCUUGGCCUAAAGUAUAUAUCCAAGUGAACGUAAUCUUUCAUAGGCAAAAUAUAAAGGAAGCAAACAAAAUAUCCAACUUCGUUUUAAAUGACUCGAAUGGAAUCUUGAAAUUAUCUUUCACUUCAAGAUUCUUAACAAUAAGUAGUUGACAUAUAUCUAGAUUUCACCCAGAUAAUUUUCUAUAAUAGUUAGGGCGAAGUUGGUUACUAUUAAUAUAUUUAGUCUGAAAAGACAGACUGUAUAUAAUAUGGUCUUUAGUAAACAACUGUAAUCAGUAAAAUUUAAUCUGUAUAUUUUAUUUUAAGAUCUAUAAUUAGAUAUAUGCAAACCUUAGCGUAUACUGGGUAUACUCGUACUUCUGCUUGAGCAAUUACGGUCUGUGAGCUGUUCACGUGUUCUCCGGAACUUGGACGGGACUCGACUCGGUUGCGACAGCUUAUGCUUAAACAGACUAUCAUAAGACGUGCUGAUUACAUUGACUCAAAGAAUUGCUGUCAUAACUGUUACCCUACUUAGAUUUAUGUGGUUAAAGUCAGAUUCGAGAUUUAGCACUUAAUAAUACCCUGCAUGACAAAACGUUUUGGGUUUGACAUGCGGGAGUAAUACUUACUAUGUCUUGACUCUGAAUCCUGCACUAAGAACGCCAAAACACCGAAGAACGAAAAUUUGUUUUUUAUUAAACAAUAAUUUUGAAACAUAAUACAUAAUUUAUAUUCGCGAUGUGUAUUUAUAACUAUUUGCAUCAAUGUAAUGAGCGUACUAAGCGAAAAUAAUAAUUUCUUACCACUUGCCCCUCUCCGUCCAGGACAAAGCGUGUUCAUAUUCUAUCACUUAAUUAUACAUAUUAUUUACGAUAUUUGCAAAUCACGUUUAAAAUUGACUGACUAUUCGGCUUCACAUUAAAACUUCAGUUGAAGAUUAUAGAAUUUAUUCAGCUGGCUAACUUCACAAUUAUCGCGUAUGAUAAGAAUGGAAAUAUGUAUAUCUAGUAAUACCUAAUAUCUUACAUUAAAAUUUAAGGUUUUAUAAUGUUUAAAGCUUUUCUAGUAUACUUAAAAUGAGAUCUUAUGAGGUAAUCAGAAUUUUACGCGAAAUAACAUUUCCAUCCAGUAAUAAUUAGAUAAUAGAUAUAAUAUCAUGCGAUAUUUAAUUCCUAUAGUACCGUAAAAUUAAUAGGUUCGAUGGGCGUACUAUGUAUGAUUUUCAUCUUCGUCCCGUCUUAUGUAUCAUUACGCACCAAACUCUCCCAUAACAUAAUGAUUAUCUGACUUUAAGCUCACAAUAGCCCUAAAUAAUAUAGAAUUAAUCAGAGUUUUUGUUCUAUUUGGACUCGCUUAAGACUAGAACUCCCUUAUUAAGAUCUAAGCAAAUUUAGUAGGUGACUGUAUACACGAACGUAUUCAAGUAUUACGUCAACUUUUGGAGAUUCUUAAACCCCCCCAUUAAACGCGUAAAAUGAUUCGUGAACACCCCCAGUGACUCUUUAUACCUAAAACUUACCAUUAUGAGGUGUAAAUUACUGGAAAGUGGAAAAUAAUAUUACCAAUAACGCGUAAUUCAGUCCCCGCCCCGCAUCGUAACGUUUUACAAGAGGACCCCCCCCCCCCCAAAUUCGUUACGUAAUACUUGAACGCUCCCUUAGCGCGUGAACUUAUUUUUAAUAGGAUCUCGUGCCAGUGCCAUAAUGGCGUACAAACAUAUUUAGCCUUAUUGGUAGUCAGAUACGAGGGGAAUUCAUCAUUACAACUAAAUAUUACAAAACAAUCAUGGUCCCGAUUAUCAAUAAAAGCUUCUAUCUAGAACGGGGUCAAAUAAGUUCAUAAAAUACAUUCUAUUAUAGGCAGCUGUCAUUUGGGUAAUCUAUAAUUAAAUAAAAAAUCUAAUUUAAAGUUUCGGAUUCCACGUGAACACGCAUUAAAGUACGUAUUUAUUACACUUUUAAUAAAAUAUAUUUUUCUUAAUUUUUAUAAGUGUACACAAUAAUUUAGAACACGUUUUGGAACACAGUGCCAUUGCGAUCACGCCGUGUUAUUCGUUCUUUGAUAAUAUUUGGUGAAGUGCCAAUGUUGUAUGGAGUUUAAAAAUAAAAAAUCUGUUUCGGAAGGUUAUAUCGGAGAACGAAGAACACGACACCGUAACACAUGUAAAUGUACUAUAAUGUUUUGUGUUGAUUUCAAAGCAAAUAUUCAAAGUAAUGGUUCACAUCUUUUGCUGCUAAUACUUUCUUCCUAGGUUAAGUGACAAUAUAGAGUCACAAAAAAUAUAUAUGUCGUUUUUUUAGCACCUAUAAGACUUUAAGAAAGAUUUCAUUUGAUUCGAACUUUUUUUUCUGAGUUUAUAUUGUCACCUAAUACGGAAUUCUUUAUCUUGGUGAGCAUUUUACAUGUCUUAGAAGUUAAUAAUGUCAUACAUAUCACCAAUUUGAAGUCGUACUCCGAGUGUAAAAUUCGGAGUUUUAGUUAUAUUUUAUAUCAUGCAUUUUGAUUACAUUUCAACAAAAAAUAUGACGCAAAAGACUACCAAAGAUUAAGUAAUAAUUAUUAUUAUUAAGCAAGCACACCUUCGUUUGUAAAAAUAUAGACUUUACGCGGCUCUUAAAUAGUACAAUAGAAUAAAAAUAAAUAAAAGAAAAUCCGGAUUGUCAUCAGUUACAGUUAGUACACAUUUUUUCACCGCUGUCCCCACUACAGAAUCUAGGCAGUGCCAUGUAAUGUUAUCCGCGAAAAGCGUCAUAGUUAGUGUACAUCACGCACUCUUAGUUUAAUAUUUUAAGAGGUUAGAAUUAGCUACGUACUACCACAUUAAAAUAUGGUGACUACUUCCAUAGCGAGAAUGAUUUCUAUCAUUGUGAAUUUCACAAUUAUUGUUAACCAAGAUUUGCUGUGGAAAAGGGUUUUAGUAUCGAAAUAGUUCACAAAUAAAUCCUCAAAACUUUUUCAAGGAAUUUUUUAACUUAUUUUUAGCAUCAGUAUCAAAAGUUAACUUUAUAGUAAGUCACUGAUGUCUGCAGCAUUUUCUGCGUGGAUAUUACUGACUUUUUCAAUCUCUCUGUAUUAAAAAAAUGUUUUUUAUCAUUGUGUCUUACUGUAAUCGAUUACAGAAUUUAGUUUGACAAUGAAAAUUGCUAUAUUAAAAACCUUUUAAGUGUGUAUAAGUAAAAUGCUCAUUGUGAUAAUAAUAUCGCCAGGUUCGGUAGUGAUUUUUUUAAUAUAUAUUUCCUAUAUAAAAAUGUAAUUAGUCAAGUUUGUUAUAAUACUCGAAAGAUGAUUAAAGAAGGUAUUCCUCCUUUAAUCAUCAAAUGUACUUAACCAAAGCUCUGUUUUGAAGUAUCGAAAUCUUGGAUUCGUAAAGAUUCAGAUCCAGACUUAGCGCGAACUAUAAUGUCCAGCAACACUGGACGCCAAGUUCUUCAUAUUUUCCGUAAGACCAACUUAAAGCGUUUGUUGUACACUCGGUUUGAGAUGUAAUUUCAAAGAUGCAUUAAUAUUAUUUCGAUAUUUGAGUAUUAAAGCUUUUAUAUUAAUUUAUUAAUAGCGACGCUUGGAGUUUAGAUUAAUUUGUUCGGGGCUACAUAUAUAUUAUAUAGAACCGUGCGUUUUAUUUUAUUUUUAAUUGAAAAAAGUUUACACUAUAUAAUUGUACCCUCUAAACAUCCCCUGGACAUCUUGAUUCCCCUAAAUUUGAGGGGAAAACCAUGUUGGCAUUACUGCCGGUAUGUUAAAUCCAACACAUUUUUUACAGACAAGCGUCAUACUUGGCGCUGAGGCUUCAACUUAAAUCCUACCCUUCUAGUCUAUUUAUCAAAGCUUAUAAUUUCUUUUCACUUGUUAACACAGCCAUAUACAACCAUACUUAAAACUAUGCUACUCGUAAUGAUGUUUUAUGAUAUAACUUUUUGGAGGAACGCAUGAUCAAAGUUUUAUUUCAACUUACUAAUUGUGUAAUUUUAUUUUAAAUAAAUAGGUAAGCCUACCGAACCAUUAACAUUUUAGCUUCAUAUUAUGUUUCUACAGC